rnacentral:rRNA from 1 species
CCUACGGGAGGCAGCAGUGGGGAAUAUUGCGCAAUGGGCGAAAGCCUGACGCAGCGACGCCGCGUGAGGGAUGAAGGUCUUCGGAUCGUAAACCUCUGUCAGCAGGGAAGAACGGUCACUGUGCUAAUCAGCAGUGAAUUGACGGUACCUGCAAAGGAAGCACCGGCUAACUCCGUGCCAGCCGCCGCGGUAAUACGGAGGGUGCGAGCGUUAAGCGGAAUUACUGGGCGUAAAGCGCUCGUAGGCGGUAUGUCAAGUCAAGGGUGAAAUCCCCGGGCUCAACGUGGGAACUGCCUUUGAAACUGGCAAACUGGAGUGUGGGAGAGGAUAGUGGAAUUCCAGGUGUAGGAGUGAAAUCCGUAGAUAUUAGGAGGAACACCAGUGGCGAAGGCGGUCUGCUGGACAGCAACUGACGCUGAGGCGCGAAAGCGUGGGGAGCAAACAGGAUUAGAUACCCGGGUAGUC